UUGGCUGGCGCGCGUUGCCAUUGGCCAUAACGUAUGUCGUCAUUGAAUUUGAACUAUGGCGACGACAACGGAUUAGCGGAGAAGCAGGUGGAAGAGCGAGAGAAAGCCAGUUUUGAGUCGCCGUUUUGUCGUAUCGUUUUGUCAACACUGUGAAAAACGUAAUUACUGAAUAAGUCUGGACACUAAACCAGACUUUGAUUUGCUGUCGUUGAACAAUGAGGCUGGACGCUGAGCACACGUGCGGCGCAAAGGUCUUUACCUGGGUCUACUUUUAAUGAUGAAGCCUGGAUGGAAAUACCAGCUUUCUCUCUACAGACCAAAGAGGUGUCAUCACUUUGUCCAUGAGACCAGAGCAGACCAAACCAGAGAGGCCUCCAGGUGAAUUCACAGAAACCACUGGACCCAGGCGAAGGAGGAGGAGGCGGCGGCGGUGAGAGCAGCAGGUGAAAUUCUGGACCUGAAAUGGAGGAAAGAAA